UCUCUGGUGGCUUAGAGGGUAAAGCAUCUGCCUGCAAUGCAGGAGACCCAGGUUCAAUCCCUGGGUCGGGAA
rnacentral:tRNA from 1 species